CCGUGCACGAGGACAACGGUCUGUGCACCAGGACAACACUCCAUGCACGAGGACAACGGUCCGUGCACCAGCACAACACUCCGUGCAUGAGGACAACGGUCCGUGCACCAGCACAACACUCCAUGCACCAGGACAACGGUCCGUGCACCAGGACAACGGUUCCAGUGACAUCACAACAGCAGCUGCUCUAGCUUUGCUUGCAGAUGUAUGCAGAGCCCCUGAAUGUUCUCUACAGCUAAUGCCAAAAAAAUGCUGGAAAAUUCUCUUCUGUCACUGGAAGCCUGUCCCACUGCCCUGGAAUGCCCUGCACAGGGAAAGCCCAAGACUGUGGGUUUAGAAGAGCCAAAAACCGCAGCCUCACAGAUCUGCCCCAAGAUCCCACACUAGCUGUAGGAUGACUUGCAGACAUUUCAUCCCCAUGAAAAUCAGGUGCAAUUGGUCUCUAUCAAAAUCUAGAGCUAAAAGCAGGACCCAACAUGAAAAAGAAAAGAAAGGAAUGUCAAUGGAAGGAAAGAAAGGGCACAAAACUCCUCUGGAAAUGAGCUCUACCCUUCCAUGGAAUAAGGAUUUGAGGCUUAGCUUGUUUCCCUGGUGAUUUAGUGCAGACAUCAAGGGACUGUCCUCUGGUGGUGGACAACAGAGUGUCCUUUAGAAGCUUUAUCCUGGGCUUGUAGUGCUUAGUAAGGCAAACACAUUUGGUGCAAUGAUCACUGGUGUGUGAUUCAAAGGCACACCCCGAUACAAUUGAUUCCCAGCUUCCCAGGGAACACUGUGUGGUAACAAAUCUGCCUUUCAGCUCUCCAACUCCUUACACUGGGGUGUACCACAGCUGCUGAGGAGGUCUCUUUGUUGAGCUCCUGUAGCUCUGCAGGUUCUCUGCUGUAAAUAUUACAGAACGCAGGGACUCGGAAAACAAGCUGAGAGUGCCCAAGGCUUAGAGGAAAUCUUGGGCUCCACCUUACAGUGUGCUGCUGCAGUGCUCUGACAGCUCAAAGAAGCCUUUUGGUCCUAUGUCACACCCCUGGGAGCUUCCCUGUGCACAUCUGUGAGGCACAGAGGUCAGGCCAUAAUGGGUGUAAAGAAAGACAGACCGAAAGAAAAGCAAGUUCCAAGAGAAGGUGGGAGAACUUAGAAGGUGGGAGGAGGAGGAAACCAAUGGGCCAAAAUGGGCAAGUCCCUUCAAAAAAGAGAGUUAUGAGGCAGAGACCAAACAGAUCAGAUGUGGACAGGCCACAGGAAGGCAGGCUUAGGAAAACAAAAAGAACAUAAGUGUUCCAAAAUUCAGAAGCAUCAUUCCACCCUCAUCCUCCUCUCACUUUUAAACCAGUCAAGGCCUGACUGCAAAGAACAAGACCUGUGAGAUGUAACUUGCUGCUUCCGUUUUCUUUCUUUAGGGAAUCUCUUUUCUGUUUCAAGCCCCUGAAAGUCCUGAAGAGGAGAGAGGAGGCGACAGGCAAACAAUGCUCAUGUUAUCAGUUCACACACUUUAACCUGGUGCUGCCAAGCCCACCAUAUCCCCAAGUGCCUCAUGUACAUGUCUUUUAAAUGCCUCCAGUGAAGGUGACCCUACCAGUGCCCUGUCCAGCCUGUUCUUGAAACUCAAUCAAAAUAAAUUAAAAAGAAAAAGUUUACUCGCAGGGAGUGUGCCACUUUCUACUCUUACAGCAGACUGUAGAAUCAUCCUCACCACCGACAAGUGUACCCAGUCAGGACUUCCAGCUGGAAUGAAAAAGCCCCAGAACUCUCAAACUUCAAAGCCCAGAGUUCUGCUGCUCCCAAUCCUUCCUUCUCUGAGAAUCCCAAAUGAUGAUUUCAUGAUGGCUGAGCCCGAUGGCCUCCAACCAUCACAGCACCCACCAGUCCUUCUCUGUUCACAAACAACGGGUCCAGUGGGUGCCUUCCCUCAUUCUGCCUUUGUGCUUUGAAAAGUUCUCACGUAUUUGUUGGCUCCAGUCUUUCUUGGAGCACUGCCUGGGGUGGCUUCAUUCCCUUCCCCAUGUGAAACAGACCAUAAAUUGCUCAGACUGUUCCUCCAUCUUUUGUGGAAGAAUAAAAGUUGGCAUAUGUUUCCAUCAGUGGAGUGCCUGAUGGAAAAAGAAGGGGAAAAAAGAUUAAGAAGUUCAAAUGCUCAAGAAAUGAAGAAGAGAGAAAAAGCUGAAGUAAAGAGAAAAAAGGAAGUAGCAGAAACUGGAUCGGAGAGGAUUGGAUUUAGAGACAAUAAGGUCCAAACCUUGUGAUCUUAUGUGCAAAUCGCACCACAGGAACAUUGCAAAACCAGGGCCCAGACUUUGGUCCCCACAGACCUUAAGCCACCUCUGGUCUGAGGUGCAAUACUGGAAACGUAUUGAGAUGGAAAUAAGUACUGUUUUUCUUCACAAAACUGUCCUAAAUCUGUCCAGAGAGAACAAAUCUUGUGUCUCUGUGAUCAGAUGUAAGCUCCACAACCAAAACCACAAAAGAACCCGUCCAUUUAUUUUUAAGAAUACACCUGAAUUCAGCAAGGAAAUCUGGAAAUCACAAACAAUAUCUCUGAAGCUUUACAGAUUUGUUAAUUUAAAAUAAAAAUGGGGUCAAGUUGCAUGUAGCACUUCAAAUGACACAGGCAGGAUUUCAGCACCUCAGGGCCAUGUCUCUGCUUCUGGAAGCAAAAGAUCUUCUAUUUCUCACAGGUGAGCAAAGCGAUUUUUCCUGGAGAGUGCAAGUGUUGCUAGCGAAGCGAUAGACUGCUGUGUAAGGUGUGAUGUUGGUCUUUCACCUUCUUCCCCAAGAGUUGCAUCACAAAGCAUACAAAAAGAGACUGAAGGCUCCAACUUCACAGCACAGCUUCAGAUCUCUUAGCACAGCAAGUCUUCCGCCCAAGCAGGUGCAUUUUACAACAUCAGCAUCAACAGAACAGCAGUUACACCACUCCAGUCUCCCUGCAAUGC